rnacentral:rRNA from 1 species
GACGAACGCUGGCGGCGUGCCUAAUACAUGCAAGUAGAACGCUGAAGAGAGGAGCUUGCUCUUCUUGGAUGAGUUGCGAACGGGUGAGUAACGCGUAGGUAACCUGCCUUGUAGCGGGGGAUAACUAUUGGAAACGAUAGCUAAUACCGCAUAACAAUAGGUGACACAUGUCAUUUAUUUGAAGGGGGCAAUUGCUCCACUACAAGAUGGACCUGCGUUGUAUUAGCUAGUAGGUGAGGUAACGGCUCACCUAGGCGACGAUACAUAGCCGACCUGAGAGGGUGAUCGGCCACACUGGGACUGAGACACGGCCCAGACUCCUACGGGAGGCAGCAGUAGGGAAUCUUCGGCAAUGGGGGCAACCCUGACCGAGCAACGCCGCGUGAGUGAAGAAGGUUUUCGGAUCGUAAAGCUCUGUUGUAAGUCAAGAACGAGUGUGAGAGUGGAAAGUUCACACUGUGACGGUAGCUUACCAGAAAGGGACGGCUAACUACGUG